rnacentral:rRNA from 1 species
GACGAACGCUGGCGGCGUGCCUAAUACAUGCAAGUAGAACGCACAGUUUAUACCGUAGCUUGCUACACCAUAGACUGUGAGUUGCGAACGGGUGAGUAACGCGUAGGUAACCUGCCUGGUAGCGGGGGAUAACUAUUGGAAACGAUAGCUAAUACCGCAUAAUAUUGAUUAUUGCAUGAUAAUUGAUUGAAAGAUGCUAUUGCAUCACUACCAGAUGGACCUGCGUUGUAUUAGCUAGUAGGUGAGGUAACGGCUCACCUAGGCGACGAUACAUAGCCGACCUGGGAGGGUGAUCGGCCACACUGGGACUGAGACACGGCCCAGACUCCUACGGGAGGCAGCAGUAGGGAAUCUUCGGCAAUGGACGAAAGUCUGACCGAGCAACGCCGCGUGAGUGAAGAAGGUUUUCGGAUCGUAAAGCUCUGUUGUAAGAGAAGAACGGGUGUGAGAGUGGGAAGUUCACACUGUGACGGUAUCUUACCAGAAAGGGACGGCUAACUACGUG